rnacentral:rRNA from 1 species
UACGAACUGUGCAAACGUUAUUCGGAAUCACUGGGCUUAAAGGGCGCGUAGGCGGGUAUUCAAGUCUAUGGUGAAAUCCGGCAGCUCAACUGUCGAAUUGCCGUGGAUACUGGGUAUCUCGAGGGAGGUAGGGGCGUGCGGAACUAAUGGUGGAGCGGUGAAAUGCGUUGAUAUCAUUAGGAACUCCGGUGGCGAAGGCGGCACGCUGGACCUCUUCUGACGCUGAGGCGCGAAAGCCAGGGGAGCAAACGGG